rnacentral:rRNA from 1 species
CGGACGGGUGAGUAACGCGUGGAUAACCUGCCUCACACUGGGGGAUAACAGUUAGAAAUGACUGCUAAUACCGCAUAAGCGCACAGUACCGCAUGGUACAGUGUGAAAAACUCCGGUGGUGUGAGAUGGAUCCGCGUCUGAUUAGCCGGUUGGCGGGGUAACGGCCCACCAAAGCGACGAUCAGUAGCCGACCUGAGGGGGUGACCGGCCACAUUGGGACUGAGACACGGCCCAA